AACCGCUUAGAGGUAAACGGGUGGAUCCGCAAAGUCGGCCCGGGGAAUUCAACUUGCUGUUUGGGCUGCGGGCGUCGGGUCAGGGAUCCGUAAAGACCCGCCUGGCGUUCGGCAGUCGUCAGCGAGUGCACUUUCCUCGGGUAGAGCGCCACGACCGGUUUCGGAGCGGUCAUAAGCCGGCUGGGAAGGUGACUUCCUCCUCGGAGGAAGUGUUAUAGCCCAGCCAGGUCGGCUCGUUCCGAGACCGAGGAUUUGCCGCGUCUCACCUGCCCUCGGCUCUCUUGGUGCGUUCGACUGGGGAAGCACUGCUUGCAGUUCUCUCCGACUGCGUGCCUUGAUAGGUCGGGAAGCACGAGGCGCUUCGGGUCAGUGGCGAAUCGGUCGGUCCUCCACCCGACCCGUCUUGAAACACGGACCAAGGAGUCUAACAUGUGCGCAAGUCAUGGGGUUCUGUACGAAACCUAAAGGCGCAAUGAAAGUGAAGGUCAACCUCCGGUCGGCCUAGGUAGGACCCCCGCGAGGGGCGCACUACCGGCCCGUCUUAACCACAUCGUUGGUGGGGCGGAGCAAGAGCGUACACGUUGGGACCCGAAAGAUGGUGAACUAUGCCUGAGUAGGACGAAGCCAGAGGAAACUCUGGUGGAGGUCCGUAGCGAUUCUGACGUGCAAAUCGAUCGUCAAACUUGGGUAUAGGGGCGAAAGACUAAUCGAACCAUCUAGUAGCUGGUUCCCUC
rnacentral:rRNA from 1 species